CGUCCUUAUAGAGGGAAUCUGCAGCUCGACCGACAGACCUGUCCGGGUCAGUGGUUACCUCCCUCACCUCGAGGCCACCUUUGCAGAGGAGUUCCUCCAUCUCCUCCCAAGCCCAAGUGAACUCCCAAUGGUAUGGUGCAUUGGUAGAUUUGCCCCACACACCCCAGGACUGCAGUGGUCGUUAGCAGUACCCUCAUCAAACUUUCACGUUGGAGGGGGAGUGUUGGUAGAAAGAAGGAUUUUCCUCAUCCCAUCAUUGCCUAUAGGGUUUGACUGAGGCCAACCUGAAGCCCGUAGUUAAUAGUAGCAGCUUUCCUACCCGGGGAUUUGGUCUCGACUCUCUACCUCCUCAUAUAGAUUGUACCGCCUUGAUACAUAUAGACACUUACAACAUCGAAGGCCCAUCCUGCUUCCCAAACCACGCCUCUCUUCGGAUGCCAGAUCCCACUCAAGCGGUCCAUCGCAUCCCCGAUUCCCUUGCUGGUGGAGAGAGAUCACCUCAUUCCACAUCUCGGCUGUUUUUCCAAGGUGUAGCAGUCGAUGAGAAUUGUGAUUGGCCAAUCUAGGCACUUUGGAGGGCUUUCAACUUUCGGUCUCGUUGGCCUAAGGAGAUGGUGGCACAUGGGCCACACGAGCAUUUCCUGCCCUUCCACACUAUAGGAGUUUCCGAAACCAUCUGAUGCAUCUGCUGGGACAGUCUGUUGUACCGUGCAGUCAUCCAUAAAUCCAAAUAUGCUCAAAAGUCUGAAAGUCAUUCACUCUGUCUAAAAGUUGGUCGCGGUAAGGUGUCAUCAGUUCAGAUGGUCACAGUAUCCAAGACGCUGAGGUUGCAGGACUCAAAUUUCAUACAUUCACUCGGUGGUCUUGCCUAUUCCUGGAAUUGCUGUCACUGGGCUCAAUUUCAUAGACUUCUGUGUAAAUUCUUUUCCAGUUGACGCCAUUUUAUCUAAAAAUAGUAACAUAUGGAAGGCACGAUCCGUUCGAAUUUGUUAUGUCAAGUAAACGUUGACAUGAAGGUGAAUACACUGGAUCUUAGCAAUGUCAAUUGGAAGUAACUGAUUAAGUGGAAUAGCUACUGAAUCGGAACUGACAAUGACCGAAACGCUAUUUUUCCAAAUAGACGCUGUAUUAUAACAGAUAAGAGAAAGAGAAGUAUAAGCCCCAAUGGCUGCAGAGCUUUGGCAAACACUUUUAAACCAGUUUUUGCGUAUACUUUUGCUUGUGAACCAGCCUUCAAAUAUUCCUUCCAACAUGAUGGUAGGAGCUCCAUGUUAAAACAGCGUACUUCCAGAUUGAUUGCAGUAAAUGGAUGUCAUUGGUCCUUUUCAUGUGAAUUCAGAAGUUUUUGGAAUAAGACCAUUGUCAUAAGACUACUUGGUGCUUUCCGCACAAGAUGGCAAAGUAUUUUGUGACUGUCAAGAGGAGCUUUUUUGAGGAAGAUGAGAGAUGUGCAAAGGCACAUAUCAAGCACUUGUCCUCACUUUGCCUUGCCAAUGACCAAAUAAAUGGUGGACUACAGUAUCUGAAGAUUUUUUAAGGAGUUGAAUGGCAUGCAGACCUCUGACUAUGGCUGCUAAAUCAAAGCUUUGCAGUUUUAUGUGAAGAAUUAAAAAAAUAUAUAGGAGUAUGUAAAGAAAUAUUGUAGCUGUAAAUGGAAGUAACUUCUUUCUAUUUUCAUCUAUAUUAAAAAAAUAUUUCCAUAAAUAUACACUGAGUAGUCAAAAAAGUUGCAAAUGUAAACUGUACAUCUAAAAGUCUAAGGCCAUGUGAUUGAAAUAAUUUUGAUUCUAAAAUUGUGAAAAGUAUGUUCAUUGUAUAUAAAAUUAAGGCAGUCAUUUUCAAUAGUUAUUUAAGGAAUAACUGUCAAGUUAGUAGAGUACAAACGAUAGUUAAAAUUGUCAGAUAAUUUGUAUAAGAGUGAAGCUAACUAACUAGACAGUGAUUCCUUAUAUUUCCUUUUCAUUGUGAAAUAUAAUUUUCAAAUUUAGAUUUUAAAAAUAUAAACAAAUAGAUUCAAAUUACACAAGGCCACCCGUGUCAAUUUCAAUAGUCACCACCCAUUCAGGUCAAACACAAAGACAGCACACAAGAUUUACAUGCAUGUGGACCUUAGAAUAAGACGCAAAGGCAGAUGCUCAAGAUGGAAAUAUUUAAAUGUUAAUACAGUGUACUAGCCUAACUAAAGGUACCUUAUGAUUGUUGAUGUACAGUUAUUCAAAUAUCAUUUUGCAAUUGUAGAUACAGAAUUUGGAUUUAUAGGCAUUUACUAUCUAUGUCAAUUCAACAAAAUUUAUUUUCAUGUACUAAAAAGAUACGAGUUGAAUUGAAUAUUUUCUGUUACACACAUGUAUGUUGAUGUAGCUUGUAAAUGAAACACGUCUAGCCUGUGUUUGUUUCCUUGUCUUUUCUGUUAAUACUAAAGGAAAAAAAUGUUUUUAAACUAUAACUAUAUUCCACUUAAAUUAAGCUCAGUAAGUAGAAUUUUUAUAUCUAUCAUAAGCCAUUUGAAUUUAAAAACAUGUAUUUUUAUUUCUUCUGCAUUCUACACAGGGAAUCUUCAGUUGAACAUGUAUCCCACCUUCUUUAAUAUUAAAUUUAAAAAAAAAACAUUAAUUCCACUGAGAAAAAAUAGAUUGCAAUGGUAAUCUAAUUUUUUGGUUUGGUAUUUUUUUUUUUCCUAAGCCUUCCAUUUUUUUUUAAUUCUAAAUUGACAUAUCAGUAUCACCAGAGAAAUGUAUAAGAUAUCAUGUUCCAGAAAUUAAAUGUUUUAUGAUCUAUGAAGUAUACAAUAUAUUUGUCAAUGCAUGUUUUUUUUUUUUUAGUCAACAAUUUAUUUCCCCCUUCAGAAGCAGACUGUUAGAUCUAUAAAAAUUGCAUUGUUUACAUUUGAUUUCCAGGUAUUACUAAUUUUACAAACUGCAUGCAAACAAUAUUUUGACUUUGCUUAACUUUAAUUUUAAGGUACUCUCUAAACCAUUGGGGUGGGUAUAACCUAUACAUUGCUUCUUUUUCAAAAGUCGCAAGAUAAACAAAAAACAAGAGGCCCAUGGGCCACAUCGCUCACCUGAGUAACUUGGGUGAUGUAGUUCUUUACCAGAUUCCCCAUCUUGCUAUACCUAUCAUGCCUCACUACCCACUUCCCUUUUAUGAUUUUAAAACUUUAGAAUCUACACUAUCCCAGGAUGCUUCCACAUAAGUUUCAGCAUUCCUGGCCCAGUGGUUCUUGAGAAAAAAGAUUUUUAAAGAUAUGUUCUAUAUAAAACUUGAAUUCCCUAUUUUGGCUCCACCCUACCCCCAGGGGGUCAUGAUUUUAACAAUUUAAUAUCUACACUACUCAAAGAUGCUUCCACAUAAGUUUCAGCUUUCCAGGCCCAGUGUUUCUUGAGAAGAAGAUUUUUAAAGAUUUGUUCUAUAUUUCUAUGUAAAAAUUGGAUUCCCUAUUGUGGCCCCGCCCUACCCCCGGGGGUCAUGAUUUUAACAA